CCUACGGGCGGCUGCAGUGGGGAAUAUUGGACAAUGGGGGCAACCCUGAUCCAGCCAUGCCGCGUGUGUGAAGAAGGCCCUCGGGUUGUAAAGCACUUUCAGUGAGGAAGAACGCCUGGUGGUUAAUACCCAUCAGGAAAGACAUCACUCACAGAAGAAGCACCGGCUAACUCCGUGCCAGCAGCCGCGGUAAUACGGAGGGUGCGAGCGUUAAUCGGAAUUACUGGGCGUAAAGCGCGCGUAGGUGGCUUGAUAAGCCGGUUGUGAAAGCCCCGGGCUCAACCUGGGAACGGCAUCCGGAACUGUCAAGCUAGAGUGCAGGAGAGGAAGGUAGAAUUCCCGGUGUAGCGGUGAAAUGCGUAGAGAUCGGGAAGAAUACCAGUGGCGAAGGCGGCCUUCUGGACUGACACUGACACUGAGGUGCGAAAGCGUGGGUAGCAAACAGGAUUAGAUACCCGAGUAGUC
rnacentral:rRNA from 1 species